rnacentral:rRNA from 1 species
AUAGUCCUACGGGGCGCAGCAGUGAGGAAUAUUGGUCAAUGGUCGGGAGACUGAACCAGCCAAGCCGCGUGAGGGAGGAAGGUACAGAGUAUCGAAAACCUCUUUUGUCAGGGAACAAAGGCGGGGACGUGUCCCCGGAUGAGUGUACCUGAAGAAAAAGCAUCGGCUAACUCCGUGCCAGCAGCCGCGGUAAUACGGAGGAUGCGAGCGUUAUCCGGAUUUAUUGGGUUUAAAGGGUGCGCAGGCGGGCUGUUAAGUCAGCGGUCAAGGCCGGGGCUCAACCCCGGCCCUCCGUUGGAACUGGC